rnacentral:tRNA from 1 species
AAAUUUAGGUUAACAGUAAACCAAGAACCUUCAAAGUUCUAAACAUGAGCCAACCUCAU